AUACACAUACACAUACACAUACAUAUACAUAUAUAUAUAAAUACAACACAAGUGGUAUAAGGGAACCUGCACAAACUUUAAUGUUAUAUACACACAAAUACAAAAUUAGUACAUUUUUUUUUUUUUUUUUUUGUUUUUUGCCAGUGGCUGGUCAUUGUUAAGUAAUGGAUCGUGUCAAGCACCCGAAAAUUAUGAAAAAAGUUUUAAGUGCAACGAUGUUGUUUCAUUUGCUAAUAUGAAUGUGCAACAAAAAGAAUCUUAUUCUACCGCUUGUAACGUUGAUUUUCCUUUUAAAAAUAGGAAUAGUUGUAGAAAAGAUUACUCUUUUUUAUGUCCACUUGGAUGGAUACCUUCAGCGAAAGAAGGAUAUUGUAAAGCGCCAAUUGAGUAUAAAAGCAAAAUUUGUAAACCAUUAGCAAAAUAUAAAAAUAUAUCAAAUAUGCAAAUAAAUUAUUACUUAAAAUUUUGUAAUAUUGAUUGGCCAUGUGAGGGUGAAAUCAGGAAUUCAUUGAUUUACACAAAAAUAAGCGCUGCUUAUUCUAUUGAGGAAAAAAAAAGAAGUAGUGGUCCAGUGGAAUCCGAAACAGGAUUAAUUAAAUAAAAUAUAUCUGUUUAUAUAUACGUUCAUGUUAAGAAUUUACGUCAUAAAAAAAAAUUAAAUAUGUAAUAAAAAUAAA
rnacentral:lncRNA from 1 species